CUUUCCCGCGCGACCGGCGAGGGAGGAAGAAGCGCGAAGAGCCGUUAGUCAUGCCGGUGUGGUGGCGGCGGCGGAGACUGCGGGCCCGUAGCUGGGCUCUGCGAGGUGUGGCAUGCAGCAUUUUGGAAGGAAAAUUGAAGACGUGUUCAAGAAAACAUGAACAGAAGCAAAUGAUGAAAAUGAGCAUUUUACUUGAUGUUGAUAACAUCACAAUAAAUUAUGGAGAAAAAUACAUAUUUGGCUAACUUUUAAUUGCUGAACAAUAAAGUGUUUUCUUUUAAAUCAA
rnacentral:lncRNA from 1 species